GCCGUUGAAAGCCAAUGACAGUGGCUGGAGCAAUGACAAAAGCUACUCAAGUUCUGUAACAAGGUGGUGAAUCCCAAACUGAAUACCGCUCUGUACAUGAAGAAGGGCCUCAUGAUGAGCUUUAGGAAGAUGGAGCAAUAACACAUGCUGAGUUGGAAAAAUAAGGGUAACAAUGCAGUCCAUUUGAAGUUGGAAAAAGAUCAUCCAUAGUUGAAGAACAUGACAAAGAACAUAGGAGUUUCAUUCUCUGAAUAAGGGAAAUCAAAAUGAAAAAAGCAUGCCUGAUUCGAGAGGGGGAGAGGGUGUUACAUACCUGAACUCUCUAAACUUCUCUGAUGAUCCGCCUUGUGACUCAAUGAAAUUCGGGAGGGACAGGUUGAACUCCAGAUACACGAGAUCUCUAGCCCGAGCCAUGGUUCAGUGUACCUUUUAUAUGACUGCUUCC